rnacentral:ncRNA from 1 species
AGUCUUCGAGGCGGGGUGUAAGUCCCCACCGGCGGUAAAGUCCGCAACCCGUGCAAACGGCUGAUCCGGUGACCUGACAGAAACUGUAUUUUUUGUGGAAUUCCGGAACCGACAGUAUAGUCUGGAUGAGAGAAGAG